rnacentral:piRNA from 1 species
UCUUGAGUCAAUAAACAUGGUGAGGAUAGG